rnacentral:lncRNA from 1 species
AGUUGCAUGAACGAAGGCUGCAUUUUCAUUAGAACAACAUGCAGUUCAACCCCUUCAUGUUUCAAUGAGGGUUCAGAUACCCAGAGGGCUAUGCUAUCAUCCUGGAGCCCACUCUGCUAACAAUUAGCAGAACGGAAGCCUUAAUUUCCAGAAUCUAGUGAACUUGAUGAGUCAAGACUAUUGCAAUUGGAAAUCUGUUCUCCUCUGCUGCUGCAUUCCCUGCUUAAUACUCAAGCCAGAAACCAGGAAGGCUGUGGCUUGCCUUUUCACUUCUUGUGUCCUGUUUAAGAAAUAUCUACUAUCCCAAGCAUCUGGCAUCUUUCUUGACACAUGUAGCAGUUGCUUUUUGACAGCUUGCUUCUUCAGUGAAUGAAUAAAUUAAUAAAGAGAAAUGUGAUGUUCAGUGAUCCAUUUUGCAGAUAACACUAACAAAGUUGACCUUAGAAUUGGAGUGCCUGGGUUAGAACCCUGCUGGUACCACCUGCUUACUGCAUGCUUCUGAUGUGAGUUCAGGAGAAGACACUGGCAAGGACAGCAAAGAACAGGAGAACACUCUAGCUUCCCUGAUAGCAUUCAAGGUGCUGUCCAAACUGACUGUGAUGGCACCCUCCAGACAGACAGCGAUGCCACAUGUUCAAGAUGGCAGAAUCACUAUCAGCUUCAAUUCCUGAAUGACUGCAGAGCAAAAUUUCUUACCCGCAACAUACACUCUAUUUUCAGCCUCCCUGGACUGUUACAUAAUGAUACAUAAAAAUAUUUCUUGUGUUGAGGCAUCCCAAAUUUGAUCUAUUUGUCAUCACAGUCUAUCCUCUGAAUAUAUUUCUGAUCCAAAUAAUGCUAGAUUCAUGCGAGUUUAUAGUCCAGAGAUUUUUUUUUUUUUUUUUUUUUGAGACAGAAUCUCACUGUCUCCCAGGCCGGGGUGCAGUGGCAUAAUCUUAGCUCACUGCAACCUCCACCUCCUGGGCUCAAGUGAUCCUCCCUCCUUAGCCUCCAUGAGUAGCUGGGACCACAGGUGUGCACCACCACACCCCGCUAAUUAUUUUGUAUUUUUUGCAGAGGGGGGUUUCACCACAUUGCCCAAGCUGGUCUCAAACUCCUAGACUUAAGGGAUCUGCCCGCCUUGGCCUCCCAAAAUGCUGAAAUUACACUUGUUAGCCAUAGUAAUAGUUCCUAGCCACAGUCCGGAGAUAUUUUAAAAACUUUAGUGUGAGUUAUUUCUCUUUGCUGUAAUUCUCUCAUGCAUUUUGAAAACCUUUUCUGCCAUACAGUGGUUUUUGGGAAGUCCUUUUGGACAGACAUAUCACAGGAUGGAGAAACUAAAGAGAGAGAAUGCAUUAAAGAAAAAAUAGUACUUCGUAUUUCAGAAAUUACAAAAGGGUGUCAUGCCCCACAGCAUGGUGGGCAGUCAUUUGUAACCCACAGAACAUUGAGUUUCUAAAAUUUGAGUGUUUUUAACUUACGAAGGCCAACUUUACUGAUGAAGUGAUUACCCCAAAUAUGUGAAAUCCAUAUUUCAAGCACAAUAGCAGGAAAUCGGAAAUGGGUAGGUAUAUUUCUGACUGUCAAAGAGUACAAAGUAAAGAGGGGCCCCUGAAGAGUGACACUACUGGAAAAA